AGCUACCUUUAUAUUGAUAUACCUUGCUAAUAACAUGAGUGACACAGCCCUGCUCAUGAAACACACACACUGACAGAGAAAUAAUAAAACGGGGAUUCUUGUUCUGACCACCAAGCGUGCACAACGUGUUUUCUUUGAGCUCCGGAAUCUUCUCGAUAGUACAUUUGGCGACGAGGAUUCAAAAAUGGCGCUCCCAUUUGGUAAGUAUUUUGAUAAAAACAAGUGAAAAAAGAUCAUUGGCUUAGAUGCUGAAUUUGGAAGACUUAUUGUGAAAAUCAAAUUAGAUCAAUGGCUUAAAUGCUGGAGAAAAGUCGCUUAAAUGCGAGAAAAAAAAAAGUCGCUUAAAUGCGAGAAAAAAAAGUCGCAAAAAUGUGGGAAGGAAAUUCGCUUUAAUGUGGAAAAAAAGUCGCUUAAAUGCCGGGAAAAUUGCUUAAAUGCGGGAAGAAAAUUGCUUGAAUGCGCAGAAAAUGAAAAUGCAGUUUCUAAAACGCAUAUUCGGUUGGAGAUGAAAAUUGUUAGAAGUGGCCAAGCGAAAAACUGAAACAUCGCUUUAAUGUGUUAGUGCGAAUGCGGGAAAAAGAAAAAUAACGAAGAGGAAAGAAAGAGACAGAAACAACUCAAAAAAAUGAGUCAUGUUUGCCAAGAUGUUGUCCUCAAAGGUUGUAGCAGUUUAGGUAUUCUGCUAUAAAGAUUUGAUUGUUUUUGAAUCACCGUGUAUAAAUUGACAGAUGUUGCUAGCCAGAUAGAGAUGGUGUGUAAAGUAAACAACAAGGGAAAAGUGUUUAGAUCAACAGUAAAUUUAGAAGCUUUGUGCGGAAAAUGCUGUUGCUAAAUUCGAGUUUCUGUUUCGUUCAAUUGCAGAGAUGAUUCGUACGCUGGGGCUGCAAAUGAAGCAGUUUGAUUAUGCAGCUCACACCGACGAUGUGGGUGUGGAAUGGCGAAAGUGGUUGCUGUCGUUCGAGACGAUGAUCCGAGCGUCCCGCAUCGAGGAUGAAGAUUGGAAAAAAAGAUCUGCUGCUGCACUAUGCCGGCCCAAAUGUUCAGCAGCUCUUCGGAACGCUGCCGGAGUUGCCCGGGGGAAGAAAUGCGUGGGCCGUUGAUAAACAUCGAACAUUACACGCCAAGUAUGACCAGCUACGAGGAAGCCUGCGCCAGACUGAAUGAGUUCUUUCUGCCCAAGGAAAACUCGACCUACGAGCGCCACAUUUUGCGGCAAAUGAAACAACGGCUCGGUGAGAGUAUUGACGCUUUUACCGUUAGACUGCGAGUUCAGGCCGAAAGGUGUGGAUUUGAUGAUCGGAUGGAGGAGCACAUCAAGGACCAAAUUAUUCAGACAAGCCAACCAGACACGCUACGCCGAGAUUUGCUGAAGCGGGGCGACGCAAGUCUCGAAGAGAUAGUAAACGUUGUGAAGAUCUACGAAACCGUGGCGAAGCAGGACAAAUCUUUUGCGUCGGGAGAUGUUAAGCCAGCGGCAAGUGAGGUCAGCAAGAUUGAUGCUAAGCCUCCUCCGUCGGGUAACCGCAAACGAUUUCCGGAGAUAGCUUUGUCUGAGUGCCACCGUUGUGGAUUUGAAGGUCACGUGGCCAGUGAUGAGAGGUGUCCUGCCAGAGGACACAUGUGCAACAAAUGCGGUGGAAGGGACCACUUUGCGAGAAAGUGUCGAACGGCAAAGAAACCGUUCAGGCCUAGUGGAAACCGUUGGACCGGAAGUCACCCGAGAGCUUACGCCGCCAAGCAAGAUCGUUCUGAGGCGGAUUCCAGCACGGUGAAAAACAUCGCUGAUAAGGACACGGAGUAUGUCUUUAACGUGACUUCAAGUAACGACGAUGGUGAGAUGCAAUGCGAAGUAGGUGGCGUUGGUAUGUGUGCGGUUAUUGACUCGGGCUCGAAGUACAACCUCCUGAGCCAAGGAGACUGGGAAAAACUCAAGGCCAAGAAGGUAGUCGUGUCGAAUCAACGCAAGGAGACGUCGAAGUCGUUCAAAGCUUACGGGGGGCAGCCUCUUCCGUUGCUGGGCGUAUUUACAGCUUCGCUCAAGAUUGGAUCCGUAACAGAACCGGCCGAGUUCUAUGUGGUGGAAGGAAACGGCAAGUUUCUUAUCGGUCGUGACACAGCUACAGCGAUGGGUGUCCUGCGAAUCGGUGUACCAGUUAACGAAGUGGACACUGAGUGCAAGCGGUUGGGCACCAUCAAAGGAAUUGUCGUAGACAUCCCGAUCAAGGCUGACGUAACUCCCGUUGUUCAACCGUACCGACGUAUACCGGUGGCGUUGGAGGCCAAAGUGGACCAGAAGAUUGACGAGCUGUUGAGUCAGGGUGUAAUCGAGCGAGUGAACGCGCCAUCAAAAUGGAUAUCUCCUGUAGUAGUGGUGCCAAAAGGCGACGACGUACGAAUCUGCAUUGACAUGCGACGAGCGAAUGAAGCUGUGGAAAGGGAGAACCACCCCCUACCGACCAUCGAAGAUUUUUUGCCACACUUGGCGAAGGCCAAGAUUUUCUCGCGACUGGACGUGAAGAACGCUUUUCAUCAGGUGGAAAUUUCUCAGAAAUCUCGAGAGAUUACUACUUUUAUGACUCGCAAAGGCUUGUUCCGGUACACGCGGCUCCUCUUCGGGAUUAAUUGUGCCCCGGAGUAUUUCCAGAAGUCGAUGGAGCAGAUCUUAAGUGGCUGUGAAGGAUGCUUGUUGUUUAUGGAUCAGAUCGAGAGGAACACGACUUAAGGCUGCAGGAAGUUCUGGCGUAUGCUAGCAAGAGCUUGUCUGAUACCGAGAGGCGGUAUGCACAGAUCGAAAAAGAAGCGUUGGCACUAGUUUGGGCGGUUGAGCGGUUCCAUUACUACUUGUACGGGCGGAAGUUUGAGCUGAUCACUGAUCACAAGCCGUUGGAAACAAUAUUCGGAUCACGCUCGAAACCGUGCGCAAGAAUCGAGAGGUGGGUCGUACGGUUGCAAGCGUACAAAGGUACAGUCAUCUACAAGCCGGGCAAAUCGAACAUCGCUGACCCACUGUCAAGGCUUGCGAUCACGGCUAACACUACAGGCAUGACGUUUGAUGAUUGUGCUGAACACUACGUGCAGUGGGUUGCAUCGAACGCAAAGCCCGUUGCUCUGAAAUUGACGGAAAUUGAGCAGGCGUCCAGAACAGACUCAGCUAUACAGGCCGUUCGUGUUGCGCUGGAUGAAGGUGUAUGGGCAGAAGAAGCGCUCCCGUACAAGCUGAUUGCGAUAGAAUUGUGCUUUGCUGGCAGUAUCUUGCUGCGUGGAACUAGGAUUGUGAUACCCGAACAACUACGAACGUAGACCUUGGACCUGGCUCAUGAGGGUCAUCCCGGUAUGACGAUUAUGAAGCAAAGGCUGCGGGCUAAGGUUUGGUGGCCAAAGCUCGACGCACAGGUUGAACAAUACGUUAAGCAGUGCCGAGGCUGCACGCUGGUGGCAGCACCUUCGGCUCCGGAACCGAUGAAACGACGUGAGCUACCAUCUGGACCGUGGCAACAUGUGGCUAUGGACUUCCUUGGCCCACUUCCGACUGGUCAUUAUCUCUUCGUUGUAGUUGACUAUUAUAGUCGCUACAUUGAGGUGGAAAUCAUGACGAAAAUCGAUUCGAAAGACACCAUCAAACGACUGGAGACCAUUUUUGCUCGAUUUGGACUGCCGUUGAGUAUUACUGCCGAUAACGGUCCGCAAUUCAAAAGCGAGGAAUUCCGAGUUUACUGUGAAUCAAACAACAUUCAGCUGAUCACCACAACACCGUACUGGCCAGAGCAGAACGGCGAGGUUGAGCGCCAAAAUCGUUCUAUCCUGAAAAGUUUGAUUAUCAGCCAUGAAACAAACGCCGACUGGGUCGAGGAACUGAACAAAUAUCUGCUAAUGUACCGAUCGUCCCCACACUCAACUACCAAGAAAACACCAUCGGAGUUGCUGUUUGGCUACAACAUUCGUGAUAAACUUCCGGGUAUUUAUCAGCCGAAGGAAGUGGACGAAGCACUGGUUGAUCGUGAUCGAGAGAUGAAGGACAAAGGAAAGCAGUACGCGGACGAGAAGCGGCACGCUAAACCAAACCCGAUUUCGGAAGGUGACGAUGUUUUGGUGAAGAAAAUGAGCAAGGCUAACAAAUUGUCUCCUAAUUUUGAAUCUGAACCAUUCAAAGUUGUAAAAAGAAAGGGAGGUGAUACGCUGAUAACUUCGGAGUCUGGGGUCAAGUAUCGCAGACAUGUGACUCAUCUGAAGAAAAUUGAGAAACCUGUUUCAUCUGAUUCUGAUCAGAUCUCGGACGGAAACCAUCCCGGUCGCAGCGGACACCUCCCCGAUAACAGUACUACAAGGACCGGAUCCAGACGGGCUACCCAUCAGCCCACCUACAUGCGUGAUUAUGUUCAUUCUGUACAGGAUUAAUAAUUUUAGAAAAGGGGAAGGUGGAUGUAGUAUCCUAGCUACCUUUAUAUUGAUAUACCUGAGUGACACAGCCCUGCUCAUGAAACACACACACUGACAGAGAAAUAAUAAAACGGGGAUUCUUGUUCUGACCACCAAGCG